rnacentral:rRNA from 1 species
GACGAACGCUGGCGGCGUGCCUAAUACAUGCAAGUCGAGCGAAGCGGCGGAUGGGUGAGUAACGCGUGGGUAACCUGCCCUUAAGUCUGGGAUACCAUUUGGAAACAGAUGCUAAUACCGGAUACUAACGGAUGGAACUGCGAUGCCUUAGCUCGUGGGUAAGGUAACGGCUUACCAAGGCGAUGCUGCAUAGCCGGUGUGAUAGAAUGAUCGGCCACAUUUGUACGGAGACACGGACCAAACUCCUACGGUAGGCAGCAGUAGGGAAUAUUCCACAAGGGACGAAAGUCUGAUGGAGCAACGCCGCGUGAGUGAAGAAGGUUUUCGGAUCGUAAAGCUCUUUUGUUGGUGAAGCGGUAAUCAACCAGAAAGCCACGGCUAACUACGUGCCAGCAGCCGCGGUAAUAC